ACUCCUACGGGAGGCAGCAGUGGGGAAUAUUGCACAAUGGGCGCAAGCCUGAUGCAGCCAUGCCGCGUGUAUGAAGAAGGCCUUCGGGUUGUAAAGUACUUUCAGCAGUGAGGAAGGCGGGUACGUUAAUAGCGUGCUCGUUUGACGUUAGCUGCAGAAGAAGCACCGGCUAACUCCGUGCCAGCAGCCGCGGUAAUACGGAGGGUGCGAGCGUUAAUCGGAAUUACUGGGCGUAAAGCGCAUGCAGGUGGUUUGUUAAGUCAGAUGUGAAAGCCCGGGGCUCAACCUCGGAAUUGCAUUUGAAACUGGCAGACUAGAGUACUGUAGAGGGGGGUAGAAUUUCAGGUGUAGCGGUGAAAUGCGUAGAGAUCUGAAGGAAUACCGGUGGCGAAGGCGGCCCCCUGGACAGAUACUGACACUCAGAUGCGAAAGCGUGGGGAGCAAACAGGAUUAGAUA
rnacentral:rRNA from 1 species